AAAUUGAAGAGUUUGAUCAUGGCUCAGAUUGAACGCUGGCGGCAGGCCUAACACAUGCAAGUCGAACGGUAACAGAAAGAAGCUUG
rnacentral:rRNA from 1 species